rnacentral:rRNA from 1 species
UACAGAGGUGGCAAGCGUUGUUCGGAAUUACUGGGCGUAAAGCGCACGUAGGCGGCUUUGUAAGUUAGAGGUGAAAGCCCAGGGCUCAACCCUGGAAUUGCCUUUAAGACUGCAUCGCUAGAAUUGUGGAGAGGUAAGUGGAAUUCCGAGUGUAGAGGUGAAAUUCGUAGAUAUUCGGAAGAACACCAGUGGCGAAGGCGACUUACUGGACACAUAUUGACGCUGAGGUGCGAAAGCGUGGGGAGCAAACAGG